rnacentral:lncRNA from 1 species
GUUGGUUGGUUGAUUAAGACGAUUGUGUAAAGAAAUUGAUGAGGGGAUUUCGUAGAAGUACGAGGAUUUUUAUCCUCUGUUUGCUUGGUGUUUCUGUGUUCGUUCCCAUUCUUUUACUGUCUCAUAGGCUGAAACUUAUUAGCUCGGAUUGUAAGUUUUAAUUCUGAUGUUUGUGAUUUGAUUUUUAGUUUAAUAAUUGCUUUAAAUCUGAUUGGGUUAUUUCUUUGAUGCAACCUCGAAGGAAUUUGUUGAAGAUUUAUCGAUUAUUGUAUUAAUCUCAUUCUUCAGUACUAUUUACAUUACUCAGUUAAUUACUUUACAUUGAAUGUUCUCUUUUCUCUAUGGUAGAUUUCUUCUAUAUUUUUC